UAUGACUAAUGAUACCUAUAGCAAAUAACUGUCGCAAGGGGAACUAAGAACUCUAUCCUACACUUAGCAAAAUACCUACAAACUAAGAACCCCCUCAACUGCCCUAAGAAUUCUCAAACUAACUGUCACUAACCACUAAAAAUGAAAUAACUACAUCUACACUAACUGUCUACAUCCUAAUCCUCCCAAUAAUCCUAAAAUAUUAAUUAUCCUUAAUGCCCUAUAACCUAAGGAGAGCCGUGGCGGGGUGGUGGGAGCCAUUGGCGGGCGCUGUCUCCGUCCCGCAGCGGAGGUGGAGGGAAGCCCUGGCAGGGACGUGUCCCCGCGGUCGGCCCUGCCUCUGCCGGGCAGAUGUUGGUGCCCGGCGGCCAGGGGAGGCGCGGAGGUGCCGCGCGGCCCAGAGAUCCUCGGCCUCCCAGCCCAGCGCCUUGGGCUCUGCUGCCCUGGCUGGGGGUGGCACCAGCCUGCUCCUGCUGGGGGGCCGUGCCCCGGCUGGUGGCCACCGGGGGCCUCCUGCCGCGCUAGCACCUCCUCCUCCUCCUCUUCGGCCCCUGGGGCAGGUCCGCGGGGCGCGGGGCAGGCUGCCCCUCCGCAGGGUCCACCUCCAUGGGCUCCUCCUCCUCCUCCGCGGGCUCCACCUGCUUGGGCUCCGGGACGGCUGCGGCACUGCGCAGGAGGGCAGCGCAGCACUCCCAGACACUUGCGCCCACCUUCCUCUUGAUGCGCAGCGCCGCCUACCUACUCGCCCACAGCCGCUCCGGCUGGCCCAUGGUGGCAGGAACGGAGAGCUUGCUGCGGGCCCUCUCCCACCACCGGCCUCUCAACGGCUCUGGAACAUCGGCGCUGAGCUCACUGCUGACACGCGCGCGCCAUGGCGAUGGCAUGCCUGGCUCGGUCCCCACGCGCGGGGGCCCUGCCGGGCUCUGCCCCGCGUGCGGGGGGAUCCUGGGGGCUGCAGGGGGCCCCCGUGGGCAGGGGGCCGUGCGGCUGCGGGCUGCUCUCCUUGGCACCCUUCCCGUGGGCUGGCCUCCUUUCUAGACAAAAACAUGGGGGGCGUG
rnacentral:lncRNA from 1 species